rnacentral:hammerhead_ribozyme from 1 species
AUCCAGCUGAAGAGUCCCAAAUAGAACGAAACGCGCAUCCUGGAU